UGAUCUGUAGCUUAAUUUUAUUGUAGUACCUUUGUCUUGCUUUGGUGAAAGAGUAAUCUUGGCCUUGAAGAAUAAGUUUGAAAGUGUCCCCUUACCUUAAACUUUUUUGGAAACUUUUGAGAAGGAUUAGUGUUAACUCUUCUUUAAAUAUUUGGUAGAAUUCACCAAUGAAGCCAUCAGCUCCUGGGCUUUUCUUUGUUGGCAGAUUUUGGAUCAUUGAUUCAAUCUCUUUGCUAGUUAUAUGUCUGUUCAUAUUUUCUAUUUCUUCGUGGUUUAGUCUUGGUAGGUGGUAUAUGUCUAGGAAUUUAUCCAUUUUGUCUAGGUUGUCCAAUUUUUUGGCAUACAAAUAUUCAUACUAUUGUCUUAUUAAUAUAAUCAUUUUAUUUCUGUUAAAUCGGUGGUAAUGUCUAGACUUACAUUUCUGAUUUUAGUUAUUGAGUCUUCCCUCUUUUAUCUUACUCAAUCUAACUAAUUGUUCAUUAAUUUUGGUGAUUUUUUCAAAGAACUGAACUUGGUUUUGCUAACUUACUCUACCAUGUUCCUAUUCUUUAUUUCAGUUGUCUGUACUCUAGUCUUUAUUAUUUCUUUCCUUCUACUGGAUUUGGGUUUAGUGUGUUCUCCCUUUUUCUACUUCUUUAAGGUAUAAUGUUAGGUUGUUAAUUUAAGAUCUUUCUUCUUGUUUAUCAUAAGCAUUUACACUAUAAACUACCCUCUUAACACAGAUUUUGAUGCAUCUGUUUAGUUUUGGUAUGUUUACUGUAGCCCUGCAAUAUAGUUUGAAGUCAGGUAAUGUGAUGCCUCCAGCUUAAUGGGGAAAAGACUCCCUAUUCAAUAAAUGGUACUUGGAUAAGUGGCUAG
rnacentral:lncRNA from 1 species